CAAUGCACCAAAGCGCGGCCGCUCUUCGUUGCUUCCUCAUCAAUCCUGUCUGCUAUCAAGUCGAAAUACUCAUUCAAGAGUGAACGAGGCGCUGAUGCACCGGUAUCAGAGUUAACAUUUCCCAAACGGCGUUCAGACGAAAUCGUCUAUAUCAAAUCAUCACAUGACGCGCUUCGAGCUUCUAACAAGCACUUGCCGAGAAGCAGACUGCCUCGGGUAAUUCAUUAUGAAAAUGUAAAUCGACAAAGAAUUCUGCUUAUUACGUCUACUGCAGUAUCUGAGGAAAAGGGCUUGGAGACUCGACCCUCCACAUGGCCACAGCAAAGAAAUACAGGAAAUCCCACCCAAACUGCAUGAUCCAUAUCUGAAUCACAAUGUUUUCUAUGGUAAGCUUUGUAAUGGAUCACCCAGUGCAGGAACACACCAAGGAUAUUCUUCUUCCUGGACUCUCCAUCUGAGAGUGAACUUUACUGAAUCUAUCACUGUCGAGCUGCAUUGAGGAUUGAGUGACGCCUAGCGGAAGUGAAAAGCCAGUGUCCAGUUACACACCAAUGGAGGGGCCUGUCAUUCCCCUGUGGUUUAAAGAAGGAGCCUGUCAUGGUGCGCACUGGCUCUGGGUCGACACUGGUUAGCGGGAAGAAGGCCCAGCAAGAAUUCUGGUCUCAUAAACCUCCAACCAAAUUCAACUGAUAAGUUAAAAUUCACUGCAAGAACACAAAAAACUUCAGGUGACAAAUGGGCCUUGAUGGAUGUAGUUGUCAGACAUGCUGGAUCAUUUUGCAUUAUGAAGUUAAUUAAAAAGCACGCUGACAAGCGAAUGAAAGAUGUCUGCCCUUUAUCAUCCUGCUGCUGCUGUUUAAUAGCUGUGGAAAAUACGAAUGAUAGCCUGAAUCUUGUAAUGUUGUUUUCCCAAAUACUAACAAUGUGCACUGAAAGUCUGCUUCAGCUAAAGCAACAGUAUUAUCACCCUUGGUUCUUUAAACUACUGAAUCAUGUAACAGCUUUUGUUUUCCGUGUCUUGAAUAUGAGGACAGCCAUAUUAUAUCAAGACAAAAUCAAUAAAAUUAUGUUUCACUGGAGAACCAAAUAGGCAGCCUGUGAAAGUGCCAGUGCUGUAAGGCUUUCCUGCUCUGGUAAUGAUCACAGUAUAUAUUUUUUAAAUGUACUGUAGAUUCGAGAAACGCAAUAAGGCCAAUUUGGACCACAACUUGCUUAAGAAAAUGAAAUUUCAGAAAUAUGAUUUUUGUGUGUGUGUGUGUGUGUGUGUGUGUGUGUGUGUGUGUGUGUGUGUGUGUGUGUGUGUGUGUGUGUGUGUGUGUGUGUGUGUAAGAAACAAGCUUAAAAAAAAAUGCAAGUAUUCUCCAUGGUGGGCAUGCUUAAAUAGCAGAUGAAAUGCAGGUUCUUUGCCCCACAAAACCAGUAUUAAAUUCUACAUUUCAAGCACAAUAAAACAAGCAGAGGAAAACAUCAAUGCAAUAUUUUCUAUAAUGGGUACACUGGCAACCAUCAAGCGUCUUAAAUAUUUAAAAAGUCCAUCUUUUCAUACAGUAGGGACUCAAGAGGGUGCUCUAUGUUAGCAUGCUGUUUGCUAUGGAAACAGCUGAACAGAAUUUGAAAGAAGGUACUGGGAAACCUUAUUGUUUGAUUGUUAAACAGGAAUUUGUUGAAUUUAUUUAAAUUCAAUACAAAGCUUUUUUAAACUUAUUCUUACAAUCUUUGCAUGUUUCAUUAAAUGCUACACGGUAAUUGAAAUGAAUUAAGUACGACUAACUACUAACUGCUACUAAAAAAAUACUAACAAUGCAGACUAACAAAUCUAAACUUUGUGUGUGUCUUCUUGGUAUUUUCACUGUGCUAACUUUCAGGCUGUUUGAUUGCCCUCGUAUUAUAACUGUGUUAAGAUUCUGAUGGAUAUCCGAAUAUUCUUUCAUUAACUGUACAAUACAGCAUAUUGAAAUAUUAAAACAUGCUAGCUUAUCGUAUGAUCUAACUCAGCUCAGUAGAUUGUCUUUUGGAGAUUUCAGUUGGCAUGGUAUGCAGAUUAAAACUCAAACUUGGUCAUUUUUGCCAAUAUUUUCAGCAAAGGCAACAGGAAUAUUCGAAUAUUUACCCCAGCGUGUACAAUGCACCUGUUCCUAUUAAUAAAAUGGCCACUUCUUUCCUGUCCUUCUCUUUUCAACUUUAACACAGUUCUGCUUUCUCUUUUAAGCCUUGUCUUAAUCAUGCAUGAAGAGCGCCACUCCUCUGACAGGAUGGGGUGCAAUAACUAACAUUUGUGAAUAACCUGGUUACUAACAACUACUAACUGAAAUUAACAGAAAAUCUAUAAAGUAAGUACGUUUUUAUUUUCCUGUACAAACGUUUAAAUCCAGCCUACUCAG